UGAGAGAUUGUGGAAUGAAGCAGCU
rnacentral:piRNA from 1 species